UUAGAAAUUAAUAUUUUAGAGUAUUCUGAAAUGAUUUUUAGUAGUGUAAAAGUUAAAUAUAUUUAUACAAACUAUAAUACGGAAAACCAAAGUAUGAAAUUUAAUUUACAAUACUACGUGGGCCCACAAAUGAACAAAAGUAGUAAAGACAGUAAACCUACAGUUUUUGAAGUAGUAUGGCCAACUAUAGUUCUCGACGAUGUUUGCUAUCUACAGGCUAACCCGGCCUGAAAUGAUGGGAUAAAAAAAAAAGGUGAGAUUAUAAAAUCUCAGUGAGUAAACAAACACCAUCUAAAUAAUCUAAAGGUGAGUAACGGGAGACAAUUAAAAAUAAUUCAUUUCAGCAAAUUUUUCACAUCACGAAUAUUCAUUUCAAUCAAAUAAUCAAUAUGGCUC
rnacentral:lncRNA from 1 species